rnacentral:rRNA from 1 species
ACCUGCCCAAUGAUUUGAUUUAAAUGGCUGCAGUAUUUUGACUGUACAAAGGUAGCAUAAUCAUUUGACUUUUAAUUGGAGCCUAGGAUGAAUGGUUGGACGAGAAAUACACUUUCUUCAUUUUUUUAUUAAAAAUUUAAUUUUUGGGUUAAAAUGCCUAAAUUUAUUUAUAGGACGAGAAGACCCUGUAGAACUUUAUUUAUACUAUAUUAUAUGGAUUUUUGUUUAUAUUUUUUAUAUUUAUGUAGCUAAAUUUUGUUGGGGUGACAGAAAAAAAAAUGAACUUUGUUUGAUAAUUUCAUUAAUUUAUGAUAUAUUGAUCCCUUAUAAGGAUUAAAAGAUUAAGUUACCUAAGGGAUAACAGCGUUAUUAUUUUGGAGAGUUCAUAUCGAUAGAAUAGAUUGCGACCUCGAUGUUGGAUUAAGAUUAAUGCCAGGGGCAGUAUUCUGGUAAUUGGGUCU